GAUGAACGCUGGCGGCGUGCCUAAUACAUGCAAGUCGAGCGAACGGACGAGAAGCUUGCUUCUCUGAUGUUAGCGGCGGACGGGUGAGUAACACGUGGAUAACCUACCUAUAAGACUGGGAUAACUUCGGGAAACCCGAGCUAAUACCGGAUAAUAUUUUGAACCGCAUGGUUCAAAAGUGAAAGACGGUCUUGCUGUCACUUAUAGAUGGAUCCGCGCUGCAUUAGCUAGUUGGUAAGGUAACGGCUUACCAAGGCAACGAUGCAUAGCCGACCUGAGAGGGUGAUCGGCCACACUGGAACUGAGACACGGUCCAGACUCCUACGGGAGGCAGCAGUAGGGAAUCUUCCGCAAUGGGCGAAAGCCUGACGGAGCAACGCCGCGUGAGUGAUGAAGGUCUUCGGAUCGUAAAACUCUGUUAUUAGGGAAGAACAUAUGUGUAAGUAACUGUGCACAUCUUGACGGUACCUAAUCAGAAAGCCACGGCUAACUACGUG
rnacentral:rRNA from 1 species